UGUCACUCAGCAGAGUCCUUCAAUUUAGCAAGGUGCUUCAGAUACAGUCUUAAUUUUAAGUCACCUUACGAACCUGUGUAAAUCAGGGAGGAUUGUUUUGGUGCUUAAAACCAGCAUUUCUGACCAGUUUUCUGUGAUGGCUUCAACCUUAACACUUUCUUCAUGGGUCUCCUGAUCUGCAAAGGUGUAGCAGCAUUCUAAAUAGUGUAGACCUGGUGACUUGACCUUGAUGUGCAUUUGAGCCACACUAGGGUGAAAUUUUCUAGGACACUGAAGCUGGCCUGAUAUUUCAAGACAGCUUUUGCUGCUGAAACUGUGAGCCUCUCCUGCCCCCUCGUGCAGACAUGUGAGCACUGCCAGCAAGUCUCUUGGAAAAGUUUGCUCAGAGAAAUGUGGAAAAACUUUUGCUGAAGCAACUUCUAUACCAAUUGCUCUCUAACUCUGGACUCUAUUCCAUGAUGAGCAAGAAAGGAAUUAAAAUUUCUGAAGA